AUUGAACGCUGGCGGCAGGCCUAACACAUGCAAGUCGAGCGGAUGAAGGGAGCUUGCUCCUGGAUUCAGCGGCGGACGGGUGAGUAAUGCCUAGGAAUCUGCCUGGUAGUGGGGGAUAACGUCCGGAAACGGGCGCUAAUACCGCAUACGUCCUGAGGGAGAAAGUGGGGGAUCUUCGGACCUCACGCUAUCAGAUGAGCCUAGGUCGGAUUAGCUAGUUGGUGGGGUAAGGGCCUACCAAGGCGACGAUCCGUAACUGGUCUGAGAGGAUGAUCAGUCACACUGGAACUGAGACACGGUCCAGACUCCUACGGGAGGCAGCAGUGGGGAAUAUUGGACAAUGGGCGAAAGCCUGAUCCAGCCAUGCCGCGUGUGUGAAGAAGGUCUUCGGAUUGUAAAGCACUUUAAGUUGGGAGGAAGGACAGUAAGUUAAUACCUUGCUGUUUUGACGGUACCAACAGAAUAAGCACCGGCUAACUUCGUG
rnacentral:rRNA from 1 species